CGCAUAUCGGGGAAUGAAGUGCUCCCCGGGCGUUUGCCAUAACUGCCAAUACACAGGCUGAUGACUUCUGUGAUCGA
rnacentral:ncRNA from 2 species